rnacentral:rRNA from 1 species
GGAGGGGUUUAGUAUAACCAACGGAGAUAAUGCAGUCGACGGAGAUGUUGCAGCAGAAGCGAAUAGCUUGCUAUGAGUGGAAACGGUGGCAUCUUAGUGGCGGACGGGUGAGUAACGCGUGGGCAACCUGCCCUGCACUGGGGGAUAACACUUAGAAAUAGGUGCUAAUACCGCAUAAUAAAAUAUAUUGCAUGAUAUAUUUUUGAAAGCUGCGGCGGUGCAGGAUGGGCCCGCGUCUGAUUAGCCAGUUGGCGGGGUAACGGCCCACCAAAGCGACGAUCAGUAGCCGGCCUGAGAGGGUGGACGGCCACAUUGGGACUGAGACACGGCCCAAACUCCUACGGGAGGCAGCAGUGGGGGAUAUUGGACAAUGGGGGGAACCCUGAUCCAGCGACGCCGCGUGAGUGAAGAAGUAUUUCGGUAUGUAAAGCUCUAUCAGCAGGGGAGAAAAGAAUGACGGUACCUGAAUAAGAAGCCCCGGCUAACUACGUGCCAGCAGCCGCGGUAAUACGUAGGGGGCAAGCGUUAUCCGGAUUUACUGGGUGUAAAGGGAGCGCAGACGGCAAUGCAAGCCUGGAGUGAAAGGCGGGGGCCCAACCCCCGGACUGCUCUGGGAACUGUAUAGCUAGAGUGCAGGAGAGGCAAGUGGAAUUCCUAGUGUAGCGGUGAAAUGCGUAGAUAUUAGGAGGAACGCCAGUGGCGAAGGCGGCUUGUUGGACUGUAACUGACGUUGAGGCUCGAAAGCGUGGGGAGCAAACAGGAUUAGAUACCCUGGUAGUCCACGCCGUAAACGAUGAUUACUAGGUGUCGGAGGGCAUGGGCCCGUCGGUGCCGGAGCAAACGCAUUAAG